rnacentral:rRNA from 1 species
GUCCACGCCCUAAACGAUGCUCACUAGGUGUUGGGGAAGCGAUUCCUUGGUACCGUAGCUAACGCGUGAAGUGAGCCGCCUGGGGAGUACGGCCGCAAGGUUAAAACUCAACGGAAUUGACGGGGACCCGCACAAGCGGUGGAUGAUGUGGAUUAAUUCGAUGCAACGCGAACAACCUUACCUACCCUUGACAUGUCUGGAAGGCUGCUGAAAGGUGGCUGUGCUCGAAAGAGAACCGGAACACAGGUGCUGCAUGGCUGUCGU